rnacentral:misc_RNA from 1 species
AUUUUGGUCCAAGUAUAUCAAUAUUGUGUUCUGUUCUGCCUUGAUUUUUUGUUCAAACAUGAAGAUUUUGCAUUUUUCAUUGUUUAUGAUUUUGUUCAUUUGUAAUGUAAUAGGAAUUGUGUAGUGAUGGAAAAAUGUUUUUUUAAUGACUUAGCUCUCUUUAUAUUUUUUGACAAAAAAAAUUGCUGACCCCUUGUAUAUUUUGAGUCUGACUGGGACAAAUAUUCUGUCGAGACAUUUAUAAAUUGACAUCCAUAUAUGGUUUUAAAAGAAUUAUCCCAUUUUUAAUCACUGUAAUUAGUGUUUCAGUAGUUAAAACAACACCUAAAAAUUGUUACUAAGCUCACAAAGCCACCAUUUCCUCAAAGGGAAGUGAGGAUGAG